AGAGUUUGAUCCUGGCUCAGGAUGAACGCUAGCUACAGGCUUAACACAUGCAAGUCGAGGGGCAGCAUCAUCAAAGCUUGCUUUGAUGGAUGGCGACCGGCGCACGGGUGAGUAACACGUAUCCAACCUGCCGACAACACUGGGAUAGCCUUUCGAAAGAAAGAUUAAUACCGGAUGGCAUAGUUUUCCCGCAUGGGAUAAUUAUUAAAGAAUUUCGGUUGUCGAUGGGGAUGCGUUCCAUUAGGCAGUUGGCGGGGUAACGGCCCACCAAACCUACGAUGGAUAGGGGUUCUGGAGAGGAAGGUCCCCCACAUUGGAACUGAGACACGGUCCAAACUCCUACGGGAGCA
rnacentral:rRNA from 1 species